rnacentral:rRNA from 1 species
GACGAACGCUGGCGGCGUGCUUAACACAUGCAAGUCGAACGAUGAACCAGGGCUUGCCCUGGGGAUUAGUGGCGAACGGGUGAGUAACACGUGGGCAACCUGCCCCAGACACCGGGAUAACCAUUCGAAAGAGUGGCUAAUACCGGAUACGACCACUUUGGGCAUCCAACGGUGGUGGAAAGGAUUCUGGUCUGGGAUGGGCCCGCGGCCUAUCAGCUUGUUGGUGGGGUAAUGGCCUACCAAGGCGACGACGGGUAGCCGGCCUGAGAGGGCGACCGGCCACACUGGGACUGAGACACGGCCCAGACUCCUACGGGAGGCAGCAGUGGGGAAUAUUGCGCAAUGGGCGAAAGCCUGACGCAGCGACGCCGCGUGAGGGACGAAGGUCUUCGGAUUGUAAACCUCUUUCAGCAGGGACGAAGCGAAAGUGACUGUACCUGCAGAAGAAGCACCGGCUAACUACGUGCCAGCAGCCGCGGUAACAC